CAACACCUCUGUACCCAAAGACUUUCCGGAACUGUGGCAGACCCUGCUUCCUACAGUGGCAGGCCAGUGACUCUCAGGCGUUGUCACAUUGGUCUCUUUGCUGUUCUUCAAACAAGUCCGGCAAGUUCUCAUUAAGGUUUUUUUAAACCCCCAGCAAUGAAUAAGAAAACAACCACCUGGCCAAGCUCAGUGGUUUAACCCAUAAUCCCAGGCUUUGGGAGGCUGAAGUGAGUGGAUUGCCUGAGCCCGCGCGUUCGAGACCUGC